UACAGAGGGUGCGAGCGUUUGUUCGGAAUUAUUGGGCGUAAAGGGCGCGUAGGCGGUGCGGUAAGUCACCUGUGAAAUCUCCUGGCUCAACUGGGAGCUUGCAGGCGAAACUGCCGGGCUUGAGUGUGGGAGAGGUGAGUGGAAUUCCUGGUGUAGCGGUGAAAUGCGUAGAUAUCAGGAGGAACACCUGUGGCGAAAGCGGCUCACUGGACCAUAACUGACGCUGAUGCACGAAAGCUAGGGGAGCAAACAGGAUAGAA
rnacentral:rRNA from 1 species